rnacentral:rRNA from 1 species
GAUUAAGUUAUUAAGGGCGCACGGUGGAUGCCUUGGCACUAGAAGCCGAUGAAGGACGUUACUAACGACGAUAUGCUUUGGGUAGCUGUAAGUAAGCGUUGAUCCAGAGAUUUCCGAAUGGGGGAACCCAGCAUGAGUUAUGUCAUGUUAUCGACAUGUGAAUUCAUAGCAUGUCAGAAGGCAGACCCGGAGAACUGAAACAUCUUAGUACCCGGAGGAAGAGAAAGAAAAAUCGAUUCCCUGAGUAGCGGCGAGCGAAACGGGAAGAGCCCAAACCAACAAGCUUGCUUGUUGGGGUUGUAGGACACUCUAUACGGAGUUACAAAAGAACAUGUUAGACGAAUCAUCUGGAAAGAUGAAUCAAAGAAGGUAAUAAUCCUGUAGUCGAAAACAUAUUCUCUCUUGAGUGGAUCCUGAGUACGACGGAGCACGUGAAAUUCCGUCGGAAUCUGGGAGGACCAUCUCCUAAGGCUAAAUACUCUCUAGUGACCGAUAGUGAACCAGUACCGUGAGGGAAAGGUGAAAAGUACCCCGGAAGGGGAGUGAAAGAGAACUUGAAACCGUGUGCUUACAAGUAGUCAGAGCCCGUUAAUGGGUGAUGGCGUGCCUUUUGUAGAAUGAACCGGCGAGUUACGAUCUGAUGCAAGGUUAAGCAGCAAAUGUGGAGCCGCAGCGAAAGCGAGUCUGAAUAGGGCGUUGAGUAUUUGGUCGUAGACCCGAAACCAGGUGAUCUACCCUUGGUCAGGUUGAAGUUCAGGUAACACUGAAUGGAGGACCGAACCGACUUACGUUGAAAAGUGAGCGGAUGAACUGAGGGUAGCGGAGAAAUUCCAAUCGAACUUGGAGAUAGCUGGUUCUCUCCGAAAUAGCUUUAGGGCUAGCCUCAAGUGAUGAUUAUUGGAGGUAGAGCACUGUUUGGACGAGGGGCCCCUCUCGGGUUACCGAAUUCAGACAAACUCCGAAUGCCAAUUAAUUUAACUUGGGAGUCAGAACAUGGGUGAUAAGGUCCGUGUUCGAAAGGGAAACAGCCCAGACCACCAGCUAAGGUCCCAAAAUAUAUGUUAAGUGGAAAAGGAUGUGGCGUUGCCCAGACAACUAGGAUGUUGGCUUAGAAGCAGCCAUCAUUUAAAGAGUGCGUAAUAGCUCACUAGUCGAGUGACACUGCGCCGAAAAUGUACCGGGGCUAAACAUAUUACCGAAGCUGUGGAUUGUCCUUUGGACAAUGGUAGGAGAGCGUUCUAAGGGCGUCGAAGCAUGAUCGCAAGGACAUGUGGAGCGCUUAGAAGUGAGAAUGCCGGUGUGAGUAGCGAAAGACGGGUGAGAAUCCCGUCCACCGAUUGACUAAGGUUUCCAGAGGAAGGCUCGUCCGCUCUGGGUUAGUCGGGUCCUAAGCUGAGGCCGACAGGCGUAGGCGAUGGAUAACAGGUUGAUAUUCCUGUACCACCUAGUAUCGUUUUAAUUGAUGGGGGGACGCAGUAGGAUAGGCGAAGCGUGCUGUUGGAGUGCACGUCCAAGCAGUAAGGCUGAGUGUUAGGCAAAUCCGGCACUCAUAAGGCUGAGCUGUGAUGGGGAGAGGAAAUUGUUUCCUCGAGUCGUUGAUUUCACACUGCCGAGAAAAGCCUCUAGAUAGAUAACAGGUGCCCGUACCGCAAACCGACACAGGUAGUCAAGAUGAGAAUUCUAAGGUGAGCGAGCGAACUCUCGUUAAGGAACUCGGCAAAAUGACCCCGUAACUUCGGGAGAAGGGGUGCUCUUUAGGGUUCACGCCCAGAAGAGCCGCAGUGAAUAGGCCCAAGCGACUGUUUAUCAAAAACACAGGUCUCUGCUAAACCGUAAGGUGAUGUAUAGGGGCUGACGCCUGCCCGGUGCUGGAAGGUUAAGAGGAGUGGUUAGCUUCUGCGAAGCUACGAAUCGAAGCCCCAGUAAACGGCGGCCGUAACUAUAACGGUCCUAAGGUAGCGAAAUUCCUUGUCGGGUAAGUUCCGACCCGCACGAAAGGCGUAACGAUUUGG